UACAGAGGUCUCAAGCGUUGUUCGGAUUCAUUGGGCGUAAAGGGAGCGUAGGCGGGCUUGUAAGUCAGUGGUGAAAUCUGUGGGCUUAACCCACAAACUGCCAUUGAUACUGCAGGUCUAGAGUACAGUUGCCGUUGGCGGAAUAUGACAUGUAGUGGUGAAAUACUUAGAUAUGUCAUAGAACACCGAUUGCGAAGGCAGCUAACGAAACUGUAACUGACGCUGAGGCUCGAAAGUGCGGGGAUCAAACAGG
rnacentral:rRNA from 1 species